AUGUUGCGUUUCUGAUUAUUUUCUUUUCAAGAAAACGCAGUCGAAACAGGUCUAUCGAGUUACACUGAAGACACGCACAUUCACGACGAAACAUUAAUUAAGGAAGAAUGGCAUUUCUCCGAGGAAGUAAUCGUCAGCUGGCCCGCUGCGAGAAACCAGACGUCUCAGUUCAUCCGUCUUUGCUGGAGAAUCAAAUGGGGAACAAAGUGUUUUUAGUCAGAUCGAUCUAUUGACAGCACAGCUGAUGAGUGAGCAUGAGGCACAAAACG